rnacentral:rRNA from 1 species
UGCCAGCCGCCGCGGUAAUACGGAGGGUGCAAGCGUUAAUCGGAAUAACUGGGCGUAAAGGGCAUGUAGGCGGAUAGAUAAGUAAGGUGUGAAAGCCCUGGGCUCAACCUAGGAACUGCACUUUAAACUGUCUAUCUAGAGUAUUGCAGAGGGAGAUGGAAUUCCAGGUGUAGCGGUGAAAUGCGUAGAUAUCUGGAAGAACAUCAGAGGCGAAGGCGGUCUCCUGGGCAAAUACUGACGCUGAGGUGCGAAAGCGUGGGGAGCAAACAGGAUUAGAUA